AGCGAACGCUGGCGGCAGGCCUAACACAUGCAAGUCGAACGAAGCCUUCGGGCUUAGUGGCGGACGGGUGAGUAACACGUGGGAACGUACCUUUUGGUUCGGAACAACUCAGGGAAACUUGAGCUAAUACCGGAUGAGCCCUUAGGGGGAAAGAUUUAUCGCCGAAAGAGCGGCCCGCGUUAGAUUAGCUAGUUGGUGAGGUAAAGGCUCACCCAGGCAACGAUCUAUAGCUGGUCUGAGAGGAUGAUCACCCACACUGGGACUGAGACACGGCCCAGACUCCUACGGGAGGCAGCAGUGGGGAAUCUUGCGCAAUGGGCGAAAGCCUGACGCAGCCAUGCCGCGUGAAUGAUGAAGGUCUUAGGAUUGUAAAAUUCUUUUACCAGGGACGAUAAUGACGGUACCUGGAGAAAAAGCCCCGGCUAACUUCAUGCCAGCCGCCACCGUAAGAC
rnacentral:rRNA from 1 species